GGAAGAAAGAGAAUCGGGAAAGAGAAGAAAAGGAAAGGAAAAGAAGAGAGAAAGAAGGAGAGGAAGAAGAAAGGAAAGAGGAGGGGAAGUUGGCAGAAUUUUUGAGGUUUCUCUAGCAAGAAAGGACACCAGCAAGGGAAAGAGAGAAAGAAUGAUCUGAAAAGCAAGAAAUUAGAGAGAGAAGGGGAGGAAGAUGAUGAACAGGAGCAGAAUCAAUCAAGGUAGCAAAGUUUUCUUCUAUCCAAGUAUUGGAGAUACAGCUGGAGAGCCCAGCAGACCUACGACCGGGUGAGACAUUAGAUCUGCACAGGAGUCCAGAGUCAUCUGCACUACAUUGCAUACAUGGUAGGACUUAGGAUAUCUUGUAUUUUGUACUUUUGUUGUAUAUUUGAAAUUCAGCCCUGUAUUUUAUAAUGUUAUGAAGGCUCUAAAGUUUGUAAUAUUUUGUACAUAUUAAAUAAUAUGGAGAUUUUCUGUAUAUAUUUAAAUUAUUAUGGACUGUAUUA